rnacentral:rRNA from 1 species
UACAGAGGGUGCAAGCGUUGCUCGGAAUUAUUGGGCGUAAAGGGUAGGUAGGUUGUCCUAUUUGUCUGGUGUGAAAUCCUUGGGCUUAACCCAAGAAGUGCAUCAGAAACGGUGGGACUGGAAUCUUGGAGAGGGUCGCGGAAUUCCCGGUGUAGCGGUGAAAUGCGUAGAGAUCGGGAGGAACACCUGAGGUGAAGACGGGUUGCUGGGCUGACACUGACGCUGAGGCGCGAAAGCCCAGGGAGCAAACGGG